rnacentral:lncRNA from 1 species
GGAAUACAGGCCGCUGUGGCACUCUGAGUGGAUAGUCCCUCCAAUUUUUGAUAACAGGAGUAGGAGGACAUAUACACACACAUCUAUAAAUAAAAGAUUAAUUUUUCUGUUUAUACGCAAAGGAAUUUUAAGACAUGCAACUUCUCGAAAUUUCUACUUGCAUCUGGUUAGUUUUCUGAACCACAGUGAAGACAGAGCCAAAACCCGGCCACAGUUUUAUCGUAAACUUCUAGGUGUGGCUUGGAAGGGGGAAAAAGAAGGUCUGACUUAAUAAGCUGACAGAGAUAAGUCAAACACCCACAGAUGGUCAUUUACAGCUGCAAAGGGCAGUGUUUUAAACUCACCCUAGUGAGUUAUACAUUUCUGAAAAAGGAACUAGGUAUCUGAAAAGUUAUGUCUUUUGCAAUACUUUGGACACUAUUGUUUUGGCCCUAUCACCUCACUAAGGUUAUAAAUAACAGCCCUUCUUACUGUUCUUUUGCUAGAUGGGCUGGUUACCACCAGCUCUGGUUUCCUGGCUGCAGUAAUGGCACUGCAGUCUGUUCCACUGCAAAUGCAUUAUCAUUCCUGGCACCUUGAGGGGGUGUUGUGGGGUAUGGCUCUCAGCUGCCUGCAUGGCAGCUUUCGGGUGUCUGGGCACCUCUCCUGACCCAGCUCCCUGGUGCCACCCCUCUACUCACCCCAUGUGUCACUGCCUUGGAAGAACAGCAUGGCUACUUCUUGCUCCUUCGGCUACUCAGUUAUCAGCUGUUGAGGGCAGGCCUCUCUGCUGCAUGUUAAGCCUCGUGCUGGGGGUGGGGGUGCAGUUACGGACAGGUCUGCCCUCCCCAGCUGCGUGGCCACCUAGAGGAAAGGGCACCCUUAUCUAAUUUACACAGCUGAGCUUUAUUGGCUAGUAGAGAGCACUGGUUAGGAGCACUGGGGCUCACAGGAGAAGCUUUGUUUCAAAGAACAUCUUACUGUCACUGCCGUUCAGCCAUCAAACAUGAUGGCAUUGGGAUUUAGGGCUUGAGGUGUUUUCUGCCUUCCCUCACAGUAGUUUGGCUAAGCAAGGAUUCUUAAGAACCACCAUUACAGCAUCAACAGUGACAACAGCAUCAGCAACAGUGGCAGAUUGCAUUUUCCAAAGUUGGCUGCGACAGCUGCUUUGUCAGAAGAGGGAGUGGAUUUCUCUAUUGCUGGGGUCCUUGUUAGUGCUUUGACCAAUCGAAUAUGGUGGAAGUGACAAUGACCCUCAUAGACACAGCCCUUACCUGGCUAGGCUGCCUUCAUUUUCAGCCUCUUGCAGGGUGGCUGCCCUGGAGAAAGUGAGAAGCCCCAGCCCUGUCGGGAGCCGUGGAGGCUGACAUGCCGUGUGAGAGCCAGUGGGGGAGGGGAGGUGCAGACACCUGCAUGGAGAAGCCGUCAUUGAGUGGCAGCCCAGUUGAGUCUUCAGGUGAUUCCAGCCUCAGGUGUUCUCUGGCUGCACCUGCACAAGAGUCCUCGAGGCAGACCCACCCAACUGCAGCCAGUCAACCCACAAAAUUGUGAGAGAAGACACUAAUUCUAAACCACUAAGUUUCAGUGUGGCUUAUUUUGCUGCAGUGACAACCAAAACACCCUCCUCAUCUCAUACCACUUCCUCUGAAAACUAAGCUCCAUGUUUCAAACUAAGUGCUUUUUUGCUUCUGCAACUUUAUUGCCAGGAACUCAAGUGGAGGAAACAAAGACUAGGAUGUGAUGAUGCCUUGUUGCAUGGACUUGAUGGACUACUGGCCUCGAUGUGAGGAUGAAACAGAAGAAUGCAUAUGAACAUAGUUGGUGCUAUCACGGUCAACUUUAAGAUAUGUUAGGAAAUGUUAGUUUGCUUUAAAAAUGCUUUGUUUUAUACCUUAGAAAUCUGUACAUAGAACUUCCAUAUGACCCCGCAGUCCCACUCUUGGGCAUCUAUCCGGACAAAACUCUACUUAAAAGAGACACGUGCACCCGCAUGUUCAUUGCAGCACUAUUCACAAUAGCCAGUACAUGGAAACAACCCGAAUGUCCAUCGACAGAGGAUUGGAUUCGGAAGAUGUGGUAUAUAUACACAGUGGAAUACUACUCAGCCAUAAAAAAGAAUGCAAUAGUGCCAUUUGCAGCAACAUGGAUGGAACUAGAGAAUCUCAUACUGAGUGAAAUGAGCCAGAAAGACAAAGACAAAUACCAUAUGAUAUCACUUAUAACUGGAAUCUAAUAUCCAGCACAAAUGAACAUCUCCUCAGAAAAGAAAAUCAUGGACUUGGAGAAGAGACUUGUGGUUGCCUGAUGGGAGGGGGAGGGAGUGGGAGGGAUCGGGAGCUUGGGCUUAUCAGACACAACCUAGAAUACAUUUACAAGCAGGUCCUGCCGAAUGGCAUUGAGAACUUUGUCUAGAUACUCAUGUUGCAACAGAAGAAAGGGUUGGGGGAAAAAUGUAAUUGUAAUGUAUACAUGUAAGGAUAACCUGACCCCCUUGCUGUACAGUGGGAAAAUUAAAAAAAUUAUAAAAAAAAAA